rnacentral:rRNA from 1 species
UGGGGAAUAUUGGACAAUGGGCGCAAGCCUGAUCCAGCCAUGCCGCGUGAGUGAUGAAGGCCCUAGGGUUGUAAAGCUCUUUCACCGGUGAAGAUAAUGACGGUAACCGGAGAAGAAGCCCCGGCUAACUUCGUGCCAGCAGCCGCGGUAAUACGAAGGGGGCUAGCGUUGUUCGGAUUUACUGGGCGUAAAGCGCACGUAGGCGGACUUUUAAGUCAGGGGUGAAAUCCCGGGGCUCAACCCCGGAACUGCCUUUGAUACUGGAAGUCUUGAGUAUGGUAGAGGUGAGUGGAAUUUCCGGAGGUGUAGAGGUGAAAUUCGUAGAUAUUCGGAGGAACACCAGUGGCGAAGGCGGCUCACUGGACCAUUACUGACGCUGAGGUGCGAAAGCGUGGGGAGCAAACAGG